GCUUAAACAAUGGAAAUUUAUUUUUUCACAGUUCCAGAUGCCAGAAGUUAAGAUCUAGGUGCCAUCAGUGUUGGUUUCAGGGCUGUCUUCCAGGAAUGUAGUUGGCUGCCCUCUUGCUGUAUCCUCAUAUAGCUUUUCCUUAGUCUGUGAAUAGAAAGAAAGAGAUGUCUGGUGUCCCUUCUUCUUAUAAGGACACCAGUGCUACUAAACUAGAAUCCUAUCCUAUGACCCCAUAUAUCCUUAAUUUUACCUUUCUGGAGGCCUUGUAUCCAAAUAUAGUCACACUGGGAUAUAGGCUUCAAUAUAUGAAUUUUGGGAGAACACACACAGUCCAUAACAACAUGGAAUAGCUUUUCAAUCAGUUAUUCCGGUCAAAAUACUAGGAGUUAUAUUUUGAAGGUAGAUAGUUUGAAUGUGAGAUGUUUGGGAAAAGAGGAGUCAAGGAUAACUCCUAGUACACCACUGACUUCUCAUCACCUCCAUUGCUAUGACCAAAGACCAAGCCACCUGCCCUCUCCUGGACUACUACAAAAGCCUCCUAACUGGUCUUCCUGCCAAAGUGGUCAUUUAACCCUCUAAAUCAGAUAACUCCUCUUUUUAAAACCAUCAGUGACUUCCCAUAUCCCUUAGAAUUCAAUCCAAACUCUUCCUAGUGUUGGGAAGGUAUUGACUAAUCUCCAAGUAACCUCCCCCUUGCUCAAUGGUUUCCCCAGCCAUCCUGCUUCUCUUGCUAGUCCUCCAACACUCAAAAUCCUUCCCAUGCCAAGGGAUUUGCCCUGACUCUUCUCUCUGGCUAGAAUGCUGAAUUUCCUAGAACUGCUCACAGCUCACCCUUCACAACAGUCAGACCUCUACUAAGGUUUCAUCAACUAGGAGGCCUUCCCUGACCACACCAACUGAAAUAGCCCCCAGCAUUCAAACUAUCUCAACCACACAGCUCACUGUCUGCAGCUACAGGGCAUCACUCUUCCAGAAAACCCUGGCUCAGGAAGAUAAAGUUGCAGAUCACGUGAUUGUUUCAGGAACUUCCCAAUGUCCAUUUAUCCAAACAACACUAGCUUUCAUUCAAGUAAACUCCUUUUCUCAGAUCAACAGAUUGCUCAUCUGGGUUCAUCAAACAUGGUUUAUUUCAUGCACAUCCGUGUGAAGAGACCACCAAACAGGAUUUGUGUGAGCAAUAAAGCUGUUUAUUUCACCUGGGUGCAGGUGAGCUGAGUCCGAAAAGAGAGUCAGCGAAGGGAGAUACGGGUGGGGCCCUUUUAUAGGAUUUGGGAAGGUAAAGGAAAAUUACAGUCAAAGGGGGUUGUUCUCUGGUGGGCAGGGGCGGGGGUCACAAGGUGCUCAGUGGGAGAGCUUCUGAGCCAGGGGAAGGAAAUUCACAGGGUUAAUCACUCAGUUAAGGUGGGGCAGGAACAAAUCACAAUGGUGGAAUGUCAUCAGUUAAGGCCGGGCAGGGCCUUUUCACUUCUUUUGUGAUUCUUCAGUUACUUCAGGCCAUCUGGGCGUAUACGUGCAAGUCACAGGGGAUGCGAUGGCUUGGCUUGGGCUCAGAGGCCUGACAUUCCUGCCUUCUUGUACUAAUAAGAAAAAUAAAACAAAAUAGUGUUGAAGUAUUGGGGCGGCGAAAAUUUUGGGGAGUGGUAUGGAGAGAGAAUGGGCAAUGUUUCUCAGGGCUGCUUCAAGCGGGAUCAGGGGCGGCGUGGGAACCUAGAGUGGGAGAGAUUAAGCUGAAGGGAGAUCUUGUGGUAAGGGGUGAUAUUGUGGGGUUGUUAGAAGCAACAUUUGUCGUGUAGAAUUAUUGGUGAUGGCCUGGAUAUGGUUUUGUAUGAAUUGAAAAACUAAAUGGAAUAAGAAAAGGAGAAAAACAGGUAUAAAAGGACUAAGAAUUGGGAGGACCUAGGACAUCUGAUUAGAGAGUGCCUAAGGAGGUUCAGCAUAGUCCUGCCAGCAAAGAUUAUUUAUUUACUUCAAGAGUUUAGAGUGGCAGUUUGGGGAUAGCACGAGGAGAUAUCAGCUGUGAUGGCUUGGAGAAACAGUGUAAACCGGCAGUGUAAACAAGAGCAGGGCAUGUAUGAGUAGUUGAGAACGGCAAAUAGGAGUAUGACUAGACAGAAGAUAGUAGGGAUGACAAGUUAUUUGGGGGCACAGUCUAAGUUGGUCGGGUGUCUGGAAUGAGAAUGGGACCUAAUAAAAAGAAGCGUCUAUACAGGAGCUUAAAUGGGCUGUACCUUGUAGCAUUCUGAGGACAGGUCUGACUUCUGAGGAGGGAAAGUGGUAAAAGUAUUGUCCAGUCCUUUUUAAGUUGGUGGCUGAGCUUGUUGAGGUGUGUUUUUAAUAGACCAUUAGUCUGUCACUGAAUACUAAGAGCCUGAAAAACUGCUUGGCUGAUUUGACUAAUAAAGGCUGGUCUGUUAUCAGACUGUAUAGAGGUGGGAAGGCUAAACUGAGGAAUUAUGUCUGACAGAAGGGAAGAAAUGACUGCAGUGGCCUUCUCAGACCCUGUAGGAAAGGCCUCUACCUAUCUAGUGAAAGUGUCUACUUAGACUAAGAGGUAUUUUAGUUUUUGUGACUCGGGGCAUGUUGAGUAAAGCUAAUUUGCCAGUCCUGGGCGGGGGCAAAUCCUCAAGCUUGAUGUGUAGGGAAGGGAGGGGGCCUGAAUAAUCCUUGAGGAGUAGUAGAAUAGCAGAUGGAACACUGAGAAGUUAUUUCCUUGAGGAUAGAUUUCCACAAUUGAAAGGAAAUGGGAGGUUCUAAGAGGCGGGCUAGUGGCUUGUACUAUAGCAUAGCCUGCCUUUGCUGAUGUGUGGCGAUUAGGCCUGGUGGAACUGCCAUCAAUAAAUCAAGCGUGAUCAGGGUGAGGAACAGGGAAGAAGGAAAUGUGGGGAAAUGGGAUGAACAUCAGGUGGAUCAGAGAGAGGCAGUCAUGAGGGUCAGGUGUGGUAUCUGGAAUAAUGUGGGAGGCUGGAUUGAAGUCCGGGCCAGGAACAAUGGUAAUUGUGGGACUUAACAAAGAGUGAGUACAGCUGAAGGAGCCAGGGAGCAGAAAGUAUAUGCAUCAGGUAUGAGGAAGAAAAUAGAUUCUGGAAGUUAUGAGAAAUGUAGAGAGUGAGUUGAGCAUAGUUUGUGAUUUUGAGGGCCUCUAAAAGUAUUAAAGCAGUGGCAGCCACUGCACGCGGACAUGAGGGCUAGGCUAAAACGGUAAGGUCAAGUUGUUUGGACAGAAAGGCUACAGGGUGCGGUCCUGGCUCUUGUGUAAGAAUUCUGACCGCACGAACCAUGCCUAGGAAGGAAAGGAGUUGUUUUGUAAGGGACUGAGGUUUCAGAGAUUAAUCGGACACGAUCAGCAGGGAGAGCAGAGCACGUGUGUUUUUACGAGAAUUAUGCUGAGAUAGGUAACAGAUGAGGAUGAAAUUUGGGCUUGACUGAAGUAAUGGGGUCUGUCUGUGAAGCCUUGCGGAAGUACAGCCCAGGGCUUCCGAGGCAACCGAGCAGCAGUCUUCAGCCGCUAAGCCGAGAAGAUCUGGGAAGGAGUCAGUCAGAGAGCCUUGGGCCGGAGUUCCAGGGGCUCUGGGAGUGGCUGCCAGAAUGAAGUUGUUGCUGAAGAAAGCGAAAGAGAGGGAGAACAGCCGGAGUCAUGAAAUCAACCUGAAGUUUCCUCCACUCCUGGACUUGCCAUUAUUCACAUUUUUGAUGUCUUUUAUAUUUCAAACUGCCUGAGUCGAGGUUCCUUGGACCUUGAAAUGCAUCAUUUCCUUUAUUUUCUGCUGAAGAUUCCUUGUAAUGAAGAUGAGGGGAGAGAUUGGGGGCCACUGGAGUUUUUCAACAAUAGGGGAAGAUUUUAAAUAAGGGCUCUGGCAUCCCACAUCCAGGCCUGGUACUUCAUUCAUAGUGUGCCAGGAAACACAGGUCAGUUUCCCAGUGCAUGCCUGGACCUCUAGCCUAAGGCUCCAGGGCAAACCAGAGGCGGAGAGCUGAUGUUGAGGGUCUGCUUACUAUGGAGCAGCAUCCACUGCAUCUUUCUUGGUGCCUGGCCACUCACUUACAUCUUCUUCACUCCUGAGCAUCAUGGCAGGGAUUGUUUUAAUUUAAUUCAAGCAGCAUAGCUCAGGGAAAGGGGACAUUUCAAGAUGAUUUAUAAUUUAGUAUAAGCAAAUUUGAGAUAUUUUCUUUAAAUUGUAUCCUCAUACGGAAGACAAUAAACAGAAGGGAGAAAGAGAAGGAAAUAAAGGCUCUUAAAAAGAGAAUGUGUUAGUUUGCCAGGGCUGCCGUAGAAAGUAUCACAGACUGGUGAUUCUGAUGAUUUAGACAACAGAAAUUUGUUUUCUCACAGUUCAAGAGGCUGGAAGUCCAAGAUCAAAGUGCCAGCAGGGCUGGUGUCCCCUGAGGCCUCUCUCCUUGGCUUGCAGGUGGCUGCCCUUGGGCCAUCUCUGCACAUGGCCAUCCCUGUGUGCACACACAACCCCAGUGGCUCUCUAUUAAUCCAAUUUCCUCCUCUUAGGGCACUUGUCAGGUUGCAUUGGAGCCCAUUUGAACGGCCUAAUUUUAACUUAAUCCUCUCUAUGAAGGCCCUAUCUCAAAUACAAUCACAUCCUCAGGUCCUAGGAGUCAGGGCUCCAACACUUUAAUUCUGGGGAGACACAAUUCAGCCUCUAACAGAGAAGGAAGGGGAUGUGGUACCAGUGAAAACUAUCCUUUCCUGGGCACAGGACGACCGCUGAGUUCCAACAGCAUGUGGGAAAUUACAUGUUUCGUAGGUGAGGUGCAGAGGGCCCCUCUAAGGAAGGCCCUGGGCCCUGGUGAGCUCUGCUUUCCUCACUGCCUGCCUUGUUCACAGCACACCCCACCUUCCUGAUUCUCCUGAAGGUCAGGCUGUGGCUCUUCCUGGGCAGUUGCUGGCCCAUGCAACCACAUUCACGACUUGGACCCUUCAACAGAUGUCCUGGGUGGAUGUUCUUGAGCUUGGCAGCCCAGCAUCCACUGGCUGCUUUGAGCAACACUGCCUUCGCUCUCAGCCCUUCCUGCCAGCAGUCAGCCCAUUUUCUCAGAACUACCUGAAUUAUUUUUAACUCAUGAUUUUGAGCCCAGGUGUGGUGGCUCAUGCCUAUAAUCCCAGCACUUUGGGAGGCCAAGGCAGGAGGAUCACUUAAGGCCAGGAGUUUGAGACCAGUGUGAGCAACAUAGCAAGACCCUCAUCUCUAUAAAUAAAUAAAUAAACCCAUGAUUUUUAAAAAUAGCCACCAACAAGGCUUUCUGGAUUUCUGUGCCCAUGGGUUUAUUCUCUGACUGACCUGGCUAAGAUGCUGAACUACUUUAAAAAUGUCAAACGCUGAGGACUCCAAUGGUAAAAGUCAAGCAGGCUUUAUUUCUACAUGCUGGGCAAUGUUGUUUUCCUGAAUGUCUAUCAAAGUAGAUGAGCAAUGCCCAGUUGCAUGUCUCCUUCUCGUUUGAAAAUGUCUGUCUUUUGUGUCAGCUAACAAGCAGGGAUUUCUACCAAGCGUUCUUUCAAGCACAACAGGCCGACCUUGAACUCCGUGAGUUUUAGGAAAACAGUGGGGUGUUUCUUGUUGGCAAACCACAGUAAAUAUUUCCAAAAGCUGUCACCUUCCAUCUCAGUGACACUCCUGGUGCUGUCUCAUGUCAUCUGUAUCAGGCAAAACUGGUUAUUGGUCAUGUAUGAAACCAGUGAAGGAGGAGUACUAUGUUUCUAUGGAUUAUUUUCCUACAUCUGAACAUUUGAUUUUGUUUUAUCCACAUUAUAUUUGCUAUGCUUUAUUAUAUUUGUUAUGCUUUAUUUUCCCUUUCGUAUUUCCAAUAAAGUGUUUACUUCCCAGCAUGGCUGGUUUUUACUCAGUCCGGAAAUCCUGGUCCUAUCAGUCUCCAGUGGUGGAGUAGAGGAGAGAUCAAGAGCAUCAGAG
rnacentral:lncRNA from 10 species